CAUACAGGUAUGAUGAACUAAUUUUUUUUGUACAUGGUUGUGUGUACUCUGUUUUAAAUUACAAAUCUUCUUAUGAAAGUGAAAGGGUGGGUAGUUGGGGGUGAACACGUAGAAGUUGGAAUGAUAAGUAGAAAGGGAAAACUAUUUAGAUUAUUCAGUGAUAAAACAAAAGACCCUGUGAGAUGAGUUAAAUUCAUGAGAAAUAGAAUGCAAUAAGCGAUUAAGGUUUGGUAUAGGAAAUGAAAAAAUGACCCUGUGAGAUGUGAAUAAUAGCACUGUUAAUGAAAAAAAUGAAAACGAAAUCUCGAAAGAGGAUGGAAAUGGCUACUUGACGGUGAUGAUGUUGCAAACAGUGAAGAUAUUGGUAUGAAUUUGGACAAUCCCAUAUGGUUAAUGUGCUUGUUUCCCAUUUUUCAAUAUUUUCGCUUUCUAUUGUUCUCUCUUCCUCCGUUCAAAACCAGUAGUCUGAUAUGAUUUUUAUUAGAUUGAUUUCUUU
rnacentral:lncRNA from 1 species